AUGGCCCAUCCGUUACGUUGUCCCAUCAUGCUACUCUCCAUCUCUCUUCUUGUGAUCACGAGCGUGGCUGCUGCUUCCAGCAACGACUCUGACCUUUCAGCUCUGGUGGCCUUCAAAGCCGGGCUCUCCGAUCCGCUUGGCCUUCUGUCUAGGAACUGGACAGCCGGCACAUCCUUCUGCUCUUGGGUUGGCGUCUCCUGCAGCCGCCGCCGGCAGCGCGUCACUGCUCUUGUGCUGGCAGACGUUCCUCUCCAUGGGGAGAUCGCUCCUCAUCUCGGUAACCUCUCUUUCCUCGCCGUCCUCACUCUUUCAAACACAGAGAUCACGGGCACCAUCCCAUCCGAUAUAGGCCGACUACGUCGCCUCACCGAUCUUGAUCUUAGCUCUAACCGCCUCUCAGGCGCCAUCCCCGACACCCUAGGAAACCUCACAAAGCUUCAACGCCUUUCUCUACGCCGAAAUGCUCUCUCCGGACAUAUCCCAGAUCAACUCCUCCACAACUUGAACAGCAUGAGGAGGAUACAUCUCGGGCUGAACCAGUUAAGUGGCCUCAUACCAGACCAGUUCUUCAACAACACGCCUUUAUUAACCCAUCUUGACUUCCAAAACAACAGUCUAUCUGGGCCAAUACCACAAGGUAUUGCCGCAUGUCCCAUGCUUGAAUGGGUCAACUUUGAAUAUAACCAGCUGUCCGGACUAGUACCUCUAACCAUAUUCAACAAGUCUAGACUUGACGUGCUUGUCCUCACAUCUAACCACUUCAUAGGAACAAUCCCUACCAAUGAAAGCUUUAAGUUGCCCAUGUUAACUGUCUUCUUCAUUGGUCUCAAUAGUUUCACAGGUCAAUUUCCCUCAAGCCUUGUAUCCUGCAAGUUACUAGUGCUACUUUCUCUAGCUGGAAACUCCUUUGUGGACAAUAUCCCAGAAUGGCUCGCUCAACUAUCACGACUCACUUUUCUUACUAUAGGUGGCAACGACGAUGUUAGCGGGUCAAUUCCAGGUGUGCUCAGAAAUCUUACUCUUGUCCGUCUUCUUGACCUCUCAUUCUGCAACCUAAGCGGAAAUAUUCCAGCCGAGCUAGGGGAAAUGAGUCAGCUCACAGAUUUACGUCUUACAUCAAACAAACUAACAGGUCCGUUUCCAGCUAAUUUUGGCAACCUAUCCCAACUAUCUGAUCUGCUAGUUGAUUGGAACCAAUUAACUGGAUCUUUCCCCGAAACUAUUGGGAACCUCAGGUACCUUAACCGUCUCCAUAUUGGAAUGAAUCAGUUCAAUGGGACCCUUGAGUUCUUGGCCACUAUGUCAAACUGUAGACAACUCCGAUUGCUUGCCAUGUUUUAUUGCUCCUUCACUGGAAACAUUCCUGCAUAUAUUGGUAACCUCUCCACAAAAUUGACAUACCUCAGUGCAGCCGGGAAUCAUUUAACCGGGGCUCUUCCAGUGACAGUAUCAAAUCUAAGUGGUCUUAGGGUAAUGUCCUUUGCAGAGAACCAACUAAGCGGCAUAAUCCCAGCACACAUUGCAUUAUUGGAGAAUCUUGAGCAGCUAAACCUUUCUAGUAACAAGCUGUCUGGCCCAAUCCCGUUAAAGAUUGGUGCCUUGACAAGAUUGCACAGGCUAUCCCUCCAGGGCAAUAAAUUAUCUGGCGCCAUUCCGGAUGGCAUCGGUAACCUAAGUAACCUAGAAUUUAUGUCGCUUGCAGAUAAUCAUCUCUCGUCAGCAAUACCUGAAAGAUUGUUUCAUCUUAGUAACCUUCGUGUGUUAGAUCUAUCUCACAACUUCUUUACAAGUGCACUGCCCUCUAAUCUUGAUUCCAUGAAGCAAAUAUACAUUCUAGAUAUAUCAGCCAACAGCUUGGUUGGUAGUAUUCCAACUUCAUACGGGAAUCUUGGACUAUUAAGCUUCCUGAACCUAUCACACAACACACUCACAGGUUCAAUCGAUGGCUCGUUCAAGGAGUUAAUCGUUCUAACACAGUUGGACCUAUCUUGUAACAACCUUUCUGGUACCAUUCCAAAGUAUUUAGCCAACUUUACUUUACUGACUAGGUUGAACCUUUCUUUCAAUGAGUUCCAAGGUGAGAUACCAAGUGGAGGUAUUUUCUUAAACACCAGUGCAAAAUUAUCUUUGAUGGGAAAUGCUGGGCUGUGUGGUGCCUCACGUCUAGGAUUUUUGCCUUGCCUAGACACUUCCUACAAAAACAAGAGACACUUGCUAAGGAUUGUUCUCCCAGCUAUCUUGGUAACUGUAGGAGCUAUAGCAAUUCUCAUUUACCUAAUGAUCAUGAAGAAAAGUAAAAAGCAGCUACAAGUUACGACUUCCAUUGGCAUGGAUAAUAUUAUCAGUCAUAGACAAGUUUCCUAUCUCGAGAUUGUUCGUGCCACUGAAAAUUUCAGCGAGGACAACCUACUUGGAGUUGGAAGCUUUGGAAAAGUUUUCAGGGGCAAAUUACAAGAUGGUUUGGAGGUUGCGAUAAAGGUGCUCAACAUGCAUGUCGAGCAGGCUGUGAGGAGCUUUGAUGCAGAAUGUCAAGUGCUAAGGAUGGCUCGGCACCGCAACUUGAUACAGAUAUUAAGUACUUGCUCCAACUUUGAAUUCAGAGCAGUACUACUUGAGUACAUGCCCAAAGGUAACUUGGAUGUACAUUUGCACUCUGAAAAUGGAGAAUCGAUAGGAUUUAUCAGGAGAUUGGAUAUUAUGCUUGGUGUAUCAAAAGCAAUGGAGUAUCUGCACCACCAUCAUCAUCAAGUUGUGUUGCACUGCGACCUCAAACCUAAAAACGUGCUAUUCGAUGAUGAGAUGGUGGCGCAUGUUGCGGACUUCGGCAUUGCAAGAUUACUUGUUGGAUAUGACAACUCCUUGAUUUCAGAGAGUAUGCCAGGGACUAUUGGAUACAUGGCACCAGAAUACGCAUUCAUGGGGAAAGCAUCACGAAAGAGCGAUGUGUUUAGCUUUGGAAUAAUACUGCUUGAAGUUUUCACAGGGAAAAGACCCACAGAUGCCAUGUUUGGGGGAGAAUUGAGCAUUAGGCAAUGGGUUUGGCAAGCAUUUUCAGCAAACCUUACUGGCAUUUUGGACGUUAAGAUAGCUCAAGCUGAGGAAAUAAUUUUUUGCUUAAAUCACCAGACCGGCACUUCAUUGGCGUGCACGAGCAGUGACUUGCUUGUGCCAAUAUUCGAACUGGGUCUGAUGUGUUCGAGUGAAUCACCUGACCAGAGGCCAAGCAUGACAGACGUGGUUGUGAGGCUCGAGAACAUCAUGAAGAGUUACUCUGCUACCAUGCCGUCACUGGAACUGGCUCAAUGUUAG
rnacentral:rRNA from 1 species